AUUCGCUUGACGGGGUGCCGGUGAGAUCCGGCUGAGAUGGCACAGGGGUCUCCCGAAGACCCAAGCGCCGAUCCCGUUGAACCUGAUCCGGUUAGUACCGGCGUAGGAAUCAAGCGGUGGUCUCCC
rnacentral:ncRNA from 2 species